UCUUCUAUCUCUCUUCUUUUUCUUGAAAAAUUCUCUCCUCUUUCUUCUUUUUUAUUCUUCUCUCUUCUCUUUCUUCUUUCUUCUUUCUUUCCCCGUCUCUUCUGUCUCUCUUCGUCUUCUUGAAAAAUAGCAACCUGUAAAGUGCUUCUCUCUGCUCUCUUCCCAGAAUCUGAAUCAAACUCGGCCUUGGAUCUCUCUUUUACUUUAAAGGUUGCAGAUCUGAGGUUGCUUCUUCCUUCACCACAAUCACUAUUCCAUCACUAUGUGUGGUAUGGAGACUGGAGAGACCCAUAACCAUGUGGGUCGAAAAGUUCUCAGAAGGAGAAAACAGAAGAAGAAGAAGGGAUCGGUGAUGUACUGGUGACUGGUUUGUGGCCCACUGUCAAACUCGGUCACAAGCCCAACUGUACCGAACCGACCGAUUAAAUCGGUAUACCGGAUUUUGUGGCCGGUAGUGGUAUAGUUUUUUGCAUACCAGUAUAAGUUGGUACGGUACAUGGUAUCGGCCCGUAAGCUUCGGUACUUAACCGAACCCAGCCCUAGCAGCUAGGUUUAUAUUAUGUGACCAGAGAGGUUGGCGUUGUCUCUCCUUGCUUCAUCGCCUUCCAACAGUGUCAUUGAACAUCAUGUGUUGAUUUAUAAAUUUUAAUAUACUUCUCCUCGGACGAGACCAGUGGCGAAGCUACACCAGGGCCUGAGGUGGCCUUGGCAUGUACCCCCCAGUCUAUGCAAUUAUAUGUUAUAUAUUGUAUGAUUACCAUAAGCAGGAAAUAUUUCUUAUUUAUUUGUGCUUA